rnacentral:rRNA from 1 species
UACAGAGGAGCCAAGCGUUGUCCGGAUUGACUGGGCGUAAAGCGCACGCAGGCGGUUGCGCGCGUGGGGGGUGAAAUCUGGCCGCUUAACGGCCAGGCGCCAUCCCAUACGGCGCGACUGGAGUGAUGCAGAGGUCGAUGGAAUUGCCGGUGUAGUGGUGAAAUGGGUAGAGAUCGGCAGGAACACCCAGGGGGAAACCAGUCGACUGGGCAUCUACUGACGCUGAGGUGCGAGAGCGUGGGGAGCGAACCGG